rnacentral:rRNA from 1 species
GAUGAACGCUGGCGGCGUGCCUAAUACAUGCAAGUCGAGCGAACAGACGAGGAGCUUGCUCCUCUGACGUUAGCGGCGGACGGGUGAGUAACACGUGGAUAACCUACCUAUAAGACUGGGAUAACUUCGGGAAACCGGAGCUAAUACCGGAUAAUAUAUUGAACCGCAUGGUUCAAUAGUGAAAGACGGUUUUGCUGUCACUUAUAGAUGGAUCCGCGCCGCAUUAGCUAGUUGGUAAGGUAACGGCUUACCAAGGCAACGAUGCGUAGCCGACCUGAGAGGGUGAUCGGCCACACUGGAACUGAGACACGGUCCAGACUCCUACGGGAGGCAGCAGUAGGGAAUCUUCCGCAAUGGGCGAAAGCCUGACGGAGCAACGCCGCGUGAGUGAUGAAGGUCUUCGGAUCGUAAAACUCUUUUAUUAGGGAAAAACAAAUGUGUAAGUAACUAUGCACGUCUUGACGGUACCUAAUCAGAAAGCCACGGCUAACUACGUG